rnacentral:rRNA from 1 species
CUACGGGCCGCUGCAGUGGGGAAUAUUGCACAAUGGGCGCAAGCCUGAUGCAGCCAUGCCGCGUGUAUGAAGAAGGCCUUCGGGUUGUAAAGUACUUUCAGCGGGGAGGAAGGGAGUAAAGUUAAUACCUUUGCUCAUUGACGUUACCCGCAGAAGAAGCACCGGCUAACUCCGUGCCAGCAGCCGCGGUAAUACGGAGGGUGCAAGCGUUAAUCGGAAUUACUGGGCGUAAAGCGCACGCGGGCGGUUUGUUAAGUCAGAUGUGAAAUCCCCGGGCUCAACCUGGGAACUGCAUCUGAUACUGGCAAGCUUGAGUCUCGUAGAGGGGGGUAGAAUUCCAGGUGUAGCGGUGAAAUGCGUAGAGAUCUGGAGGAAUACCGGUGGCGAAGGCGGCCCCCUGGACGAAGACUGACGCUCAGGUGCGAAAGCGUGGGGAGCAAACAGGAUUAUACCCCAGUAGUC